UCCUUAUAUAAGUUUAUUGAAAGGGAGAAAUCCCCUUUGAAAUCAGGAGUAUAAAAUCCAUCUGAUGCAGCCACUCCACCAAAAGUUUGAGCAGACUUUGCUCCAUAACCCUACCCCAAAUAUCAUACAAAAUAUACUCAUAUCAAAUUUCCAAACCCAUGAAUCAAAAACGAUAAAAAGAGUAGAAAAAAAAAUUCAAACAAAGCAAAGUAAAAAUGUAAUCUUUAAUCAAAAAAAUCGAAACAGUACCGUAAAGCUACAAAAUUUAACAAAGAAACAAAUCAAUAAUUAUUUGGUAAGAGUAGUAUGCAGCUAAUUAGUGAUAGCUAUGGUUCUAAUUACAUAGAAACAAAUCCUUACCUCUGUGUCAGAAGCUGCCGCCGAACUACCUCAUAUUUAGCAAGUUUUUGAGUACAAUUGACAUGAGGAACCUGUUGUAACAACAAACAAACACAUCUUAGUUAAUCAAUUAAUUAAAAAUAUAAUCCAAACCCAAAAGAUAACCUCAUAUUAAAAUAAAAACCAUGCAUGACAGUUAUGAGAAGAAGGAACAAUAUCUUCAUGUUUUUGGCCAGUGAAGAUGUGAAUACCAACAAAGCAACACUCAACAUAUCCAUGUUUUCCAGAUUUUAAGUUGAAACUUCAACCACCUGUGUCCAACACAAACAAACAAAACCCACAAAACAUACAUCAUUAAAAAUCAAAGCUUUAACUUUGUUUUGCACAAAAUAACACAAAAUUCAUAUGGGGUUUGAUUAAUCCGAACCAAUUGAUAAAAAUUCAAUUUUAUCACUGGAAUUUUUUCUA
rnacentral:lncRNA from 1 species